GAAUCUUCAUCUCGGUGAAGUCCAGGGACACCAGGUGGCCUUUCCACGGCUCCCAGUUGACCCCCUACGAGCGGGAGUAGAAAGCUUUGAUGUCAACAGAAGGCGGGCCAUGAAAACAAUUGUGGAAGCUCUACUUUUGAAGGUUGGCCAGGUGACAGUUUUUGUACCACCAGGCCCCGCGGUGUGUGAGGGCGCAGUUGCCAAGGGCGAUGUCAUUAUCGGAGUCGAUCGUCGUCCAGGGCCGACCUUGGUGAUAGGUCAUUGCAUCACCUAGGGAACGACAAGGACAGAUGCCAUUGAUCAAGUGUGAGUUAAGAUGUAGCCCUCAAUGUCAGCCAAAGGAGCGGCCCAGGUCAACCGAGCUGACUCCGUGGUAACACCCAAAGCCUGCAAGUCCUUUGGAGCGUCAAUGUCUGUCAGUUGGAUCACAGCAAACGACAAGUGAAUGCUCAUUCAUGCCGAUGUAGACCGUGUAGACGACACCGGGCCUCAAACCAGUCAGACUGUGAGAAUCACUCCUGGGAUCAACACGGAUUUGCCCACUGGAGCCCUCUGAAGAAGUGUGGGUGAGGACGUAGCCGUCGAUUUCUGCUUGGACGCCAUCCCAGGACACCUCGAAGCUGGUGUCGGUUUGGUCUCGGGCUAAAGGGUUAGCGGGAUCGUCCAGCUCUAUAGGACGAUGUUAGUCGAUGCAGUUAAUGCUACUGAUGCACUGCAAUUAGUCAAGAAUCAUCAGAAAUAGGAACUAAAGUACGAGCAAUUGGCCUUGGCCAAGCUACUAUGGUCUCAUCCAGUGAAAAGAAGACUUUCAAAGGUGAGGAGAUGUAUUUUACCCUUAAAAAAACCAUGUUGGUUGUCAAAAACGCGUGUUGUAGAAACCGCUUUGAACACCUGUGUCGGCUUGUGUCGAGAUCUUCCUGCUGGCUUUGCUUCCUUUGACGGCCCAGAUGUAGACAGUGUACACCACACCGGGCCUCAAGCCCGUCAGGCUGUAGGAAUUGAUGUCUGCUCCCAAAGAGAUUUCCCCACUGGAGCCCUCCGAGUAGCCAUAGGUGAGGACGUAGCCGUCGAUUUCCGCCUGGACACCGUCCCACGACACCCUGAAGCUGCUCUCGGUCUCAUCAUGGGCUAAAAGGUUAGCGGGAGCAUCCAGUUCUAGAUGGAAAUGUGAGUAGACGAGCUUUAGUCAUACAUUAAAUUAGUCGGAGGGUAUGUGGUGAAUAGAGAUGUUCAGAAGUAAGUCAUAGUGAAGACCUGUCGCUGCUUGUGUAGAGACUUUUCGACUGGCUUGAUUUCCCUUGACGGCCCAAAUGCGGACUGUAUAGGUGACUCCAGGUUUCAAGCCAUUUAUUGUGUAGGUGCUACUAUGGGGCCCAAGUGGGAUUUCCUCGCUAUGGCCAUCAGGAGAAAGGUACAUUAGCACGUAGCCAUCAAUUUCCGCCUGGGCGCCUUCCCACGACACCCUGAAGCUGCUUUCGGUCUCAUCAUGGACUAAGAUGUUGGCAGGACCAUCCAGUUCUAGAGGACAAUGUUAGUUGACAAGUUUACUCAUGGCUCACUCACUAGUGGAAGGUUAUUUAUGAUGAUGUGUGAAGAGGUAAGUCAUGUUGAAGACCUGUCUCUGCUUGUGAUGAGACCUUUCUGCUGGCUUUGUUCCCCCUGACAGCCCAGAUGUGGACUGUAUAGACGACCCCGGGCCUCAAACCAUUUAUUGUGUAAGAAGUGCUGUCAGGUCCAAUUGGGAUUUCCUCGCUUGAGCCAUCAGGAGAACGGCCCAGAUGUCGAUCGUGUAGACCGCGCCAGGUUUCAGACCAACCAGCCGGUACGAAGUCAUGUCACGUCCAAGAGGGAUCUCGCCGCUGGAGCCCGCGUCCGAAGUGUACGUCAACGUAUAGCCUUCGAUCUGGGCCUGGACCGGGUCCCAAGAAACUGUUGCGGUAUCUACUGUGACCUGAGUGGCGAUCAGACGUUGUCUUCACCGAUCUGGAGAUGGGGAGGACAACGAUUGGCUUCCGUCGUACGAACGCAAAGCUCUUCAUCCGAGGUGAUGGAACAACUGAUGUCAAGAGGGUGAAUCAGAAGCCGCUCCAGUUUGCAACCGGACGCCCCCGGAACGUCAAUGUUAAAGACGUGACCGAAGGCUGUGACCGCACAAACGUUGACCUGACAGCAAGGCGGCGAGCGUGUGAGGCAAACGGAGGCAGACAACAAUCCGACAAAUACACAGAGGAGAAGCCGGCGCUAUUCGGCUUCAAAACAAAAGGCUGGACGUCUUUGCAAGUCACUGACCUAGAACGAGGUACACGUGUCCCGAUUUUGAAUGUCUUCACCAAUGUUGCAUUGUUUGUUCUUAUUGCUCUUUUAGAAUUUGGGUGUACUUGAGACAUUUACACAUUUAACGAUACCUCCACCUUGGUGUAGUACCAGACUUGGCCUGUGAGUGGCAACAUGGUGCCAAAGGGCAUCCAAAAAAUA